UAUUGGGCAAUGGGCGCAAGCCUGACCCAGCAACGCCGCGUGAAGGAAGAAGGCUUUCGGGUUGUAAACUUCUUUUGUCAGGGACGAAGCAAGUGACGGUACCUGACGAAUAAGCCACGGCUAACUACGUGCCAGCAGCCGCGGUAAUACGUAGGUGGCAAGCGUUAUCCGGAUUUAUUGGGUGUAAAGGGCGUGUAGGCGGGAAUGCAAGUCAGAUGUGAAAACUAUGGGCUCAACCCAUAGCCUGCAUUUGAAACUGUAUUUCUUGAGUGCUGGAGAGGCAAUCGGAAUUCCGUGUGUGUAGCGGUGAAAUGCGUAGAUAUACGGAGGAACACCAGUGGCGAAGGCGGAUUGCUGGACAGUAACUGACGCUGAGGCGCGAAAGCGUGGGGAGCAAACAGG
rnacentral:rRNA from 1 species